AGUGAAUUGGGGAGCUAGCUUAUACUGCCUCACGCCAAUCUUCUUGCAUCCAUCAAAAGUUAAAAAAAAGUUAAAGUUAAAUCAUCCCUGGUGGUGAAAGAUCUCAAUUGGAAUUUGAUACUAUGAAGAUGUCCUGUGACACGAACUAAAAGGGUCUCCUGUUCAAGUUCACCUACAUCUGCCAUCCACGUGUGAAAGGGACUCCAGCUUAAUCAAACCAAAGAGAUACUGCAAAGAGAGCAUCAUCAGCCAGUCUCAGGUCUGCAACAAACAUUGAAAGUCCUCCCUGGCUCUCACGCUUAAAGAGCAUCGUCAGAAACCCAACACUUCCGCACCAUGAACUGCAUGUGUGAGGAGCUGUACAGCAAGAUUCUGAGUAAGACAUUAUCCCUAAAAGCCACACCGGCCAGUGAAAUGACAAAGAACAGCUGCUAGGCUGAUUUGUUUAUCUAUUCGUUUGCUUUUUACAACAUAUUUAUUGAUGGCUUAUUAAUUACAUACACACAGAAGCACUUUAUUGCUAUAAAUUAAGCACUUUCAUUGCUUUCUUGUCUUUGUCAUACUU